rnacentral:rRNA from 1 species
AUUGAACGCUGGCGGCAGGCCUAACACAUGCAAGUCGAACGGUAACGACAAAAACAAUCCCUUCGGGGUGCGUUUUUAGGCGACGAGUGGCGGACGGGUGAGUAACGCGUAGGAAUCUACCCAGAAGUGGGGGACAACCCGAGGAAACUCGGGCUAAUACCGCAUGCACCCUACGGGGUAAAGCGGAGGACCUUCGGGCUUCGCGCUUCUGGAUGAGCCUGCGUCCGAUUAGCUUGUUGGUAGGGUAACGGCCUACCAAGGCGACGAUGCGUAGCCGACCUGAGAGGGUGAUCGGCCACAUUGGGACUGAGACACGGCCCAGACUCCUACGGGAGGCAGCAGUGGGGAAUUUUCCGCAAUGGGGGAAACCCUGACGGAGCAACGCCGCGUGGAGGAUGAAGGCCCUCGGGUCGUAAACUCCUGUCGAUCGGGAAGAAAGCGUCCGGCCUAAUACGUCGGCACGUUGACUGUACCGGUGGAGGAAGCCACGGCUAACUCUGUG